rnacentral:rRNA from 1 species
GGAGGGUGCAAGCGUUAUCCGGAUUCACUGGGUUUAAAGGGUGCGUAGGUGGGUUGGUAAGUCCGUGGUGAAAUCUCCGAGCUUAACUCGGAAACUGCCGUGGAUACUAUCAAUCUUGAAUACUGUGGAGGUAAGCGGAAUAUGUCAUGUAGCGGUGAAAUGCUUAGAUAUGACAUAGAACACCGAUAGCGGAGGCAGCUUACUACACAGUCAUUGACACUGAGGCACGAAAGCGUGGGGAUCAAACAGGAUUAGAUACCCUGGUAGUCCACGCCCUAAACGAUGGAUACUCGACAUACGCGAUACACAGUGUGUGUCUGAGCGAAAGCAUUAAGUAUCCCACCUGGGAAGUACGACCGCAAGGUUGAA